GGUCUAAAAGGUCAGAAUUCUGUACUCAGCAAAGAAGCCCACCCUCUGGUCAACAUUAUGGCAAGAUUUUAGAUUAAAAGAGGUUUUCCCCAAUAUCCUUUGAAUGGUGGUCAUCCUAACCUUCCCUUCCAUACAGGUUGCCUUUUUUAUAAAUGGAAAACAAGGUGAUUCCAUUCUAUUUUUUUGUAAUUUUCUCCAGAAAGCUUCAAAAAUGCAUCAAUUCUAUUAAAAGCUCUGCUUCUGAAAACAGCUGGAGAAAGUUGAAUUCUCAAGGACAGAAAUCUUGUAUCCUGCUACAUUUCUGAAAUUGGUUAUUAAUUCUAACAGCAUUUCAGUGAAAUUCUUUGGGUCUUCUAUCCACACUGACCUCUGCAACCUCCCUGGAAGAGCAGGCCUAGCUCCUUCAGUUUCCGCAAAUGAUGCCCCAUGUCAUCUUCCAACAGACAGCUGUAACCAAGGGGAACAUGUUGCUGCUUCUCUCAUGGAACAUGGCAUGCUUAUUGUCAAAGGCUGCAAGGAAACACAUGCCAAAGGAAAGUUGUAUCCUCGAAGGGAAUUAUUUAUGAAAUGUUCCCCUUACAGUACAUAUUAUUGCUUUUGAUGUAGUUCUGACAUUUGAAAUGCAAUUAAAAAUUCAAUUUCUCUGUGAGA